rnacentral:rRNA from 1 species
UUUAAUUGAAGAGUUUGAUCAUGGCUCAGAUUGAACGCUGGCGGCAGGCCUAACACAUGCAAGUCGAGCGGCAGCGACU